UUUAUUAUGAAAAUAGUUUUGACAUUGCAGACCCACUUAAAGGUCUCAGGGAUGUGGGUCUGGAGACCACUCUGUUCUAAAGUGUCAGUUUGUUCAAAAAAUAUAAGAGAGCAUAAUAAAGGACAAAACUUUUAAAGGUACUUUUAUUUGCCUUGGUUUAUAAUACCUGUAUCUGAAAUGAAACUGCUAAAUAUAUCAAAAGUUUAGUAAGUUCACUCAGGUUUGAUGAGCUUAUUUCUUUGGUUUACUGAUUAUGCUUGCCCUAUGAUAUUAAAGGUUAUUAUUUUUGUGUAAUCUGCCUUUUUGUGCUUUAUGUUUACUUUAUUUUGUCUUUGAUUAUUUAAGAAAAUAAAAAAGUAAAAAACAAAGGUUCCUCACUUAUGAAUGAGCCAGGAUUAUUUAUAGUCAUGUUACCUUCUAUUCUUAUUUUCAAAUAUUUUAUUGUUGCUUUGAAAAAUUAAGUAACCAAGUACUGUUUGUCAGGUACCCAUGAUCCUAUCUUAAUCAAAUAUCCAAUUAUUUUGUGAUAACUCUUUUGAUUUUGCCUUCUAAAGAUCAGACCUAAAUUUAGAAAAAGAUAAAAUAAAAAUUUCAGAAUAUCUUUUACAUCUAAAACUCUUUUUGAAAUUUCCUAGAGGACUCCUAGAAAAUCACAAAGAUUUGUUCUUUCAUCUUAUAAAAAGAGAUGUUAGAAAUAAUUAGGUUUGUUUGAUAUGUUACCAUUGUAAGAGUUUCAUGGAAGGGGAGUUGUUGUCAUAUCUGAGAAGAGAUGCUCAGUGUUCCCUGCAUUAGAUUCAUAUAGGUAAAAUGUUAUUAAUAUAAAUAUUUCAGAAAUUGUAUGCUUUACGGGAAGUGUCUGGAGACUUGACAAUGCCCUUGCU